rnacentral:rRNA from 1 species
UACGAGGGGGGCGAGCGUUGUUCGGAAUUAUUGGGCGAAAGGGCUCGUAGGCGGUCUGUCACGUCGGGAGUGAAAACACGGGGCUUAACCCCGUGCCUGCUUCCGAUACGGGCAGACUAGAGGUAUGCAGGGGAGAACGGAAUUCCUGGUGUAGCGGUGAAAUGCGCAGAUAUCAGGAGGAACACCGGUGGCGAAGGCGGUUCUCUGGGCAUUACCUGACGCUGAGGAGCGAAAGUGUGGGAGCGAACAGG